rnacentral:rRNA from 1 species
GACAGAGGGGGCAAGCGUUGCUCGGAAUCACUGGGCGUAAAGGGCGCGUAGGCGGGAUGGCAAGUCGGUCGUGAAAUCCUUCGGCUCAACCGAAGAACGUCGGCCGAUACUGCCGUUCUUGAGGGAUGCAGAGGAGAUUGGAAUUCCCGGUGUAGCGGUGAAAUGUGUAGAGAUCGGGAGGAACACCGGUGGCGAAGGCGGGUCUCUGGGCAUCUCCUGACGCUGAGGCGCGAAAGCGUGGGGAGCAGACGGG